UUCCCUGUAGCUCAGUUGGUAGAGCAUGGUGUUUGCAAUGCCAGGGUUGUGGGUUCGAUCCAGCACAGAAAAA
rnacentral:tRNA from 1 species